CUCACAGUUCGGGUAAAGUAACCUGACACAGUAAAAGAAAAUGAAGAAGAGGACUGGAGGUUGGCAUGGUGGUUAAGGACUCCAAGUUCUGCUUUGCUUCCUGAUAAAAGCUUUACGAAAUGAAUUGAUGGAGAGAAAACAAGAAAGAGGCCAGCUGGUGGCACGGUGGUUGAGGCGGCUAAGUUCUACAUGACCAGCUUCACAGUCUGAAUCAGGACCAGGGACUUGAAAAGCACACCAGUGAGCUCUCAUGCCCUAUGGCAAAAUUAAAA